rnacentral:rRNA from 1 species
AUUGAACGCUGGCGGCAGGCUUAACACAUGCAAGUCGAGCGGGGUGAUGGUGCUUGCACUAUCACUUAGCGGCGGACGGGUGAGUAAUGCUUAGGAAUCUGCCUAUUAGUGGGGGACAACAUCUCGAAAGGGAUGCUAAUACCGCAUACGUCCUACGGGAGAAAGCAGGGGAUCACUUGUGACCUUGCGCUAAUAGAUGAGCCUAAGUCGGAUUAGCUAGUUGGUGGGGUAAAGGCCUACCAAGGCGACGAUCUGUAGCGGGUCUGAGAGGAUGAUCCGCCACACUGGGACUGAGACACGGUCCAGACUCCUACGGGAGGCAGCAGUGGGGAAUAUUGCACAAUGGGGGAAACCCUGAUGCAGCCAUGCCGCGUGUGUGAAGAAGGCCUUCGGGUUGUAAAGCACUUUCAGCGAGGAGGAAAGGUUGAUGCCUAAUACGUAUCAACUGUGACGUUACUCGCAGAAGAAGCACCGGCUAACUCCGUGCCAGCCGCCGCGGUAA